rnacentral:rRNA from 1 species
GGAUGUAUUUAUUACCAAUCCCUUUUGAUUCAUGAUAACUCUAGGGCCUUCCGCCGGCGAUGCUUUCAAUCCCUCAACUUCUUUAUGGUUUGAUCACUACUGUUUGGGGAACGGGGAAUUAGGGUGCCACGGAGAAGGAGCCUACCGCUACC